UGCUGCUGUCCAAUAUUGUUUUAGUGCAAAUUGUUUAUUACCAAUUUUCCCUUAAGCUUUAAUAAAUAACAAUUUCGUCCCUACUCAAUUAGCCUCUCAAUUGAGCUGAUUUUUCUUAAUUAACACUUUAUUCUAUCACUUUAAACUACUUUACAACUUUUGGAAAUCAUAAUUUCAGCACUAGACUUUAAUUCCAACAUUUUCACAAUUCUGUCCUAAAAUCAAUUUCCAUUAAUUUUACUAAUUUAAUUCAUACUCUAUUUCUAUUCAAGUUCCAUCCCAACUCAAAUUUAACUACUAAAUUUUCAGCUUAUUUAACUAGUUUCAAAAUUUCCUCAAAUUAGCCCUUCAACAUAAAACUUAUGAAUUACUUUACAAUUCAAUCCUUAUUUCAUUUCUAACUUGAAUUUCUAUCAAUUUAACCCUUAUUUUAUCAUUUUACUCAACAUGAACAGUAUCUAAAAAUCUAAUAUCUUUCAAAAUAUCAACUUAAUUUCAUCAAAAUCAUGUCCAAAGCUUCUAAAAUAUCAAAAUUAAGUAAAAAGGGCUCAAUUGACUUACCUAUUAAACUUCCAAACUUCAGACCUUUGAUUUUCCCUUUUCUUCUUUCUUUCCUUCCCCUGCUUUCUGUUUUGUUUGCUUUGUUUCUUUAUUUCUCUCCUUUUUUUUCUUUUUUCUUUUUUUUAUAUAUACACACAUGUAUUUAUACUUGAAUAAUAAGUAUUAUUUAUUUAUUCAUGUGUAUAUUAUUAGUACAUUUGUAUCCAUUUAUAACCAUACAUUUGUCAUUAUUUAAUAUAUUUAUCAUAUAAAAUCUUAUAAUAUAAUUAUUUAAUUAAUAAAUAUCUAUUUAAUAUCUAAUACAUGUAUUACAAAUGUAUGUAUUUUUAUCCAUACACUUGUAUAUUUUAUUUACUAUACAUUUGUCUUUAUAUUAAUUUGUUUAUCAUAUAAAUAUCUUAUAAUAUAAUUAUAAUAAAUUAAUUUAAUAUCAUUUAUUACUAAUAUAUAUAUUAAUUAAAAUCUAAGUAAAAAUCUUAGAUUUUUAUUUUAUAUGCGGCCUCACUUAUGCUAAAUGGCAUAAUUGCCAUUUUGGUCCUUCUUAUUUUCUUUUAAUCUAUAAUUAAAUUUUCACAUUUUAUUCAAUUUAAUCCUUUUAUCUAAUUAUCCUUAAUUAAGCUAAAUUCACUUAAUUAAACUCUAAUUAACCACUCUGAACUUUUUAAAUAUUUUUUAUAAAUAUUUACGGACACUUUUUUUUUUUUAGUAACGAAGACCCGAAAAUACACUUUUUUGAUAACCGCAAAAUUCGGAUUAUUACAG
rnacentral:lncRNA from 1 species